AUUUGACACGUUUUUGAUAUUAUCAACAUAUAUAAGAAAAUUUUGUAAUGGAGGAUCGUUAGUUAUAGACGUAGAAGAAGAUGAGUUGAAACUUUGACGCGACUCUAGAUGUAGGAAAAAUCCCUUGUGAUGGAGGAUCAUUAAUUCUAGACGUAGAAGAUGCAUGAGAGGAGUUCUCUAUUACCUCUUUGGGUUGAAAGUUCGACACGCUUUCGAUGAAGUCUUCGUUCUACGCAUAAGAAAAAUCUUGUGUCGACGGAGGACCAUUGUUUUGACGUAGAAGACGGGACGAGGUCUCUACCUCUCUUUGGGUUGAAAAUUCAACAGGCUUAUGAGAUCUCCCACAACAGUAUAUAAGAGCAAGGGAUGGAGAUUGGAAGGGCAUCAGAUACGAGAAUGGAGAAGAGAAGUGCUUGCAUGGUGGUGUUUCUUUUGGUGCUCAUUGCUUGUUCGGUUGAAGGAGUCAUGCCCCUUCAUACCAUCCAUGGUCCCGGUGGGCUAAAAUUACAAUUAGGCGGGAGAACAUUGCUUCGCUAUGACCCCGGUAAUGGAGUUCCUUCUCCGAAAGCAAACCAACAUGAUCAGGGCCGUCAAGGCUAAAGAAGAGAAUAGCAAGUUGGCUGUAGCAAUCAGUCAACCACAGCAUGGAUUUAUGGAGCGCAUAGGUCAACAUUUAAUAGGACCCAGCAGUUGUAGCUUUUUUUUUUUUUUUUUUUGGUAACAACAUUUGUAGCUGGAUUACGAGCACUACUCCGCAACCAAAAGGUCCAAAGCUAAUAAAAGAAAACAAAUAUCAUAAUAAUUUUUAUGAUGAUUUUUCAGUGAUGGCGUGGUGAUUGCAUGUUUUGAGAAUAACAGUGGACAGGCUUUUAUUUUUUUACAUUAUACAUAUUUUUGGUUAAGAGUCAAAGUCAUAUCCUGGGUUCGUCUUUGGCUCAACGCUAGUGGCAAGUGCUACCAUCACUGGAAGUGAUCGUCUAAAUAUAUUUAAUUGACAAGUUAGCGUUAAUAAAUUUAAUAAAUCAUGGUAGCUCAUAGGGCUCCCCAAAUAUCCAAGGCCCUCCACAAGUAACAGCAAGAAUCCAGAUAUCGACCCAGAAUAGAACCUUAUCCAAGACAUUAAUCGUGAGGAAAAUGUAUUUGCUUCGAUACAGGAAAUGUCCUUGCUAGGGAUCUUCCACUAAAGUACCUUACACCACAAAACAACUACAACAACAACAACACUAAGGGAAAAAAAAAGAAGGGGGGGGGGGUGGAGAGAAAAA